GCGGCAUGGAUUAGGCCUGCAAGUCGAGCGAGAAGGGUUUUGAAGCUUGCUUUAGAACCCGGAAAGCGGCGCAAGGGAGAGUAACGAGUAGUUAUCUACCCCAAGGCCCGGAAUAGCUGCGGGAAACUGCAGGUAAUGCCGGAUAAUAUCCCCGGAUCAAAGGUGUGAUUCCGCCUUGGGAGGAGACUGCUUUGUACUAGCUAGUUGGUAGGGUAAUGGCCUACCAAGGCUACGAUGCAUAGCGGGCGUGAGAGCGUGGCCCGUCUCACUGGGACUGAAACACUGCCCAGACACCUACGGGUGGCUGCAGUCGAGAAUCUUCGGCAAUGGGCGAAAGCCUGACCGAGCGAUGCCGCGUGCGGGAUGAAGGCCCUCGGGUUGUAAACCGCUGUCGUAGAGGAGAAAGGUCUGAUGAAGAAUCAGAUUUGAUCUAUUCUAGGAGGAAGUCGGGGCUAAGUUCGUGCCAGCCGCCGCGGUAAUAC
rnacentral:rRNA from 1 species